GACAGAGGCCCCAAGCGUUAGGCGGAAUCACUGGGCUUAAAGCGUGUGUAGGCGGACGCCUACGUGUCUUGUGAAAUCCCACGGCUCACCCGUGGAACUGCUGGGCAUACUGGGCGUCUUGGGCCAACUAGGGGCAGCCGGAACAAGCGGUGGAGCGGUGAAAUGCGUAGAUAUCGCUUGGAACGCCGAAGGUGAAAACAGGCUGCUGGGGUUGUGCCGACGCUGAGACACGAAAGCCAGGGGAGCAAACGGG
rnacentral:rRNA from 1 species